UGGCUUCAUCAGGAAAUGGAAAUGCUAAACCUUUGGAAGGAAUACUAAUCCUUAGAGAGAGUUGUCUCCUAGCUUUAGAGCAGAUAAUUACUUUUUCAACUGCCUUACUGAUAAUUUGAUUGUUCAAAAAGUAGAAGAACAACAAAGAGGAACUAUUUUCCAGAUCUGAUUCUUACCAACAAAAAUGACCUGAUUACUUGGAUUCAAGUGAUGUUGUCACCACCGCCUGACUUCUCAGGAAGGCUGAGAGCCCUUAGGGGAGAUGGGGAGCCAAAGCAGACAUCGUCAGCAGGUUCCCUCUGGGCUGAAGACUCUUAUACCUCAUCCAUAGUUCCCCUACUGACUGUGACCCUCCACACUAUGUAUACACAUGAUGAGUAACAUGGAAGGGAAAAGAUCAGAAUCAAAUGGAACAAUGGAGAAAGAUAAGGUGAUGUGAUAUGCCAUUAUGAAUGCUCUAUCCUGACCUAUUCAAGUUUUCUAUUAAUAUCAAAAUAUGACAAAUGAAUAAAGGAAUAGAAAUAAGCAUGAAAACAUUUUUACUUCCUAUAUACAUUUAAGCAAUAUCAAAGGGUUGCCACAAUGCAGAAACCAAAAAAACCUCAAACCACAAACACUCGAUCUUCUUGCAAAUUAGAAAGACAUGACUGACAAGAACAGCAGUUUAGAAUCCCAAGUCAUUUGUGAGCCAUGUGAAUUUGGCAAGUCAUUCAACCUUUCUUAGUUUUCUCAGCCAUAAAAUAGGUAAGAGAACCAAUGUUAA